rnacentral:rRNA from 1 species
UACGGAGGGUGCGAGCGUUGUCCGGAAUCACUGGGCGUAAAGGGCGCGUAGGUGGCGCGACAAGUCAACGGUGAAAGCCCGGGGCUCAACCCCGGGUCGGCCGUCGAUACUGUUGGGCUUGAGCACUGUAGAGGCAGGUGGAAUUCCGGGUGUAGCGGUGGAAUGCGUAGAGAUCUGGAAGAACAUUGGUGGCGAAGGCGGCCUGCUGGGCAGUAGCUGACACUGAGGCGCGACAGCGUGGGGAGCAAAC